AGUGAACGCUGGCGGUAAGCCUAACACAUGCAAGUCGAACGGCAGCACAGUAAGAGCUUGCUCUUACGGGUGGCGAGUGGCGGACGGGUGAGGAAUACAUCGGAAUCUACUUUUUCGUGGGGGAUAACGUAGGGAAACUUACGCUAAUACCGCAUACGACCUACGGGUGAAAGCAGGGGAUCUUCGGACCUUGCGCGAUUGAAUGAGCCGAUGUCGGAUUAGCUAGUUGGCGGGGUAAAGGCCCACCAAGGCGACGAUCCGUAGCUGGUCUGAGAGGAUGAUCAGCCACACUGGAACUGAGACGCGGUCCAGACUCCUACGGGAGGCAGCAGUGGGGAAUAUUGGACAAAGGGCGCAAGCCUGAUCCAGCCAUACCGCGUGGGUGAAGAAGGCCUUCGGGUUGUAAAGCCCUUUUGUUGGGAAAGAAAAGCAGCAGGUUAAUACCCCGCUGUUCUGACGGUACCCAAAGAAUAAGCACCGGCUAACUUCGUG
rnacentral:rRNA from 1 species